GGGCAAGUGGCGAAAUUUGGUAGACGCAUCAUACUCAAAAUAUGACAACAUUGUUUUAAGGGUUCGAAUCCCUUCUUGCCUA
rnacentral:tRNA from 1 species